rnacentral:rRNA from 1 species
CACGUAGGGCGCAAGCGUUGUCCGGAAUUAUUGGGCGUAAAGAGCUCGUAGGCGGUCUGUUGCGUCUGCUGUGAAAACCCGGGGCUUAACCCCUGGCUUGCAGUGGAUACGGACAGACUAGAGGUAGGUAGGGGAGAAUGGAAUUCCCGGUGUAGCGGUGAAAUGCGCAGAUAUCGGGAGGAACACCGGUGGCGAAGGCGGUUCUCUGGGCCGAUAUUGACGCUGAGGAGCGAAAGCGUGGGGAGCGAACAGG